UGGACUUAUGUAAACCAAAAGGGUUAGGACAGACAUUUGAUCAUAGUUCAGAUACUCAAGAUAAACUGGAACACCUGGUCUCAUAGCCAUCUUUAACUUCCGCACUUUUUCUCCUCAUUGAUUCAGCACAAGUCCAUGGAUCACAAGAGCUUUGAAAGACACCUCUGAUGGGCUUCAGGAUUAUUAUUGGAAUGGAAGACUUAACCUAGAUUAUGGUUUCAGAAACAACGUGGCCCAGGCAUGAGUAUCUGCUGAAAGGUUUUUGAGUAAAUAUUGUCAAAAUGUCUGCUACCCAAAGUGGUCUACAGAUUCAGUGAAAUCCCUAUCAAGAUAGCAAUAAGAGGCUGUUCUAUAAAGACUUUGGCACCAUAUUCCACAUUUAUCUUAACUCUGUAGCUUGACAAAGAACUACAGAAACUAUGAGUAAACAGCCCAGAUUAUUUUCCCAGGCAGGACAGGAUCAUCCUAGACCUUAGAAUCUUAUGUAAGUCUUAUACUGAGGAAAUUAAGGAUAAAGGUUCACAUCCACACUGACCACUGACCUGUUCUAGGCAAUGGGAUGUCACUUUUCUCAUGUCCUCUCACAUAAAGUUUUGUUGGCCUUUCAUAUGCCAUUUCAGCAAAGGAAGUGGCAAGUGCUGUCCCUCCCAACUCACGCCCAAUGUCGGAGCAACUGGUGCAUGUUUCACUUCAGGCAGAUGUGACCCCAUCUGUCCCACUCCUUUCUAAACAUUCCCUUUCCUCAAGUUGUCUGCAAUUCCCUCAUCUUUGUUCCUAUAUAGUGAUGAAAGAGGCUCUACACUCACAUUUUUUCCAUCACAAAGAAGUACAUCCCAGUUGACUUUAAAGCUGGCCCCAAGGAUCCCUGCGCCUAAAGACCUGACCACCUUGUUGACUUGGGUGAUUCCAAAAGGGAAGUGUAAGAUUCAACCCUCCACUGCUCAUUUUGCCACAGGAAACCAAUAUAUUCAAUUUGUCUGGAUAAAGGAUACUUUGGAAAAUUUACAUCAAAACAAAAUUUUCAAAAUCCACUGGAUGUCAGCAUUUUUACAAGCACUUUGUGUAAACAUAGUUAGGAAAUAGCUGUGGAAAUCCUUCCUCUGCAACCAGAGUUUGUCUAUGAUGCAUUCAGUACAGAUACGAACAGCCAUGUUUAUAUCAUGGGGCACACCUGCUUUUUUCUCCUGAGUCUCAGUUUUGGAAAUAAACCAGGUUCUACCAACCUGUGCUCGUAACACGCUUAUAAGAACCUUGACAUAAAACUAAAAGCAUUUUUCCUCACGUCUCUAAACAUUUUCCCCUGGACGCAAAGUUGGUUUCUGCCUGUUUCAUCCCUGAUCUUUCACUUCAACACUGAGAUAUCAGGAAGCAAACAUGAAGCAACGUGGAAGACAGGCCUGGGUGCCAUCACUGGGCCACUUGCGGGGCUAGAACCAGCCAUGGUACUCAAGUACUGAGUAAGCUUCAAACAAACCAACUUCAGAAUAACUGGUUGUCAAGAACAAGGAUGAAGGGGACCAAGUGAAAUAUAUGGUUCUUUUCUUUACAACCCAUUAAGGAGGCACUUUGUUACGCCAUCUUGCUCUCAAAAGCGGCACAUUUGAAGACAACUAAAGCUAUUUUGAGAAUGUGUCCAGAAAGCAAGGAUUGACCAGAUCAUGGAGGACUCCCUUUAGCUUCUGGUCAUAUCCUGUGUGAGAUCUAAGAGAUGGUUUCAGAAGGUUUUUAAAGAUUACAUUAACUUUUUUGUUAUGGUGAACUCUGCAUGACAUAAAAUUCACCUCAACCAUUCAAGUGUACUACUCAGUGGCACACUUAAUGUUGUACAACUAUUGCCACUAUCCAUUUCCAAAAGCUUUAUCAUCGUGAUGGAAACUCUCUGCCCAUUAAACUCCUUAUUCCCGGCUUCAGAACAUAUUGUACAAUAAAGAAACAUGCCCCUUUGGCUUCAGGAAUAAGAGCUCAGAUGGAGCAGAGACAGGGGAACCUCUCCUACCCUUAGGUAUUUGAAGGGAAGAGAUGCUGCCAACACAGUCUUAGCUUCUCCAGCUAGCUGAGGCAAAGAAAACAGUUACUUCAAGAGCCCAGCACUCAGAAACAGUUGAGAUAACUUCUACUGCCACUCUCCAUUCUGGGAUGAGCAUCAUAUAUAUGCUCAACUGUAGUGGUGGGGUUAGAUGUGGCAACUCAGAAGACACUCUUGGCUUUAGCCAAAUAUAAAUCUAGGACAGGAAGGACAUCAUCUCCAUUAUCUUCAUCUUAUUAGAGGACCCAAAAACUUUUCCAAUUCACAGCUUCCUUUGACCUCACACACACACAGGCCAGGAAGAAUAUCCACACGUGAAUUAAAUGCACGUGGGUCACCUUGAAACAGAAUUUCUGGGCUCCACGUCUCACUGGUCUUUUACUGCUUUCUAUCCAUUUAGUCACAAUAUCACAACACCUGCCUAUUACCUUUUAACUAACUCCCUCAGUCAAUGGAGAGUCCCACACAAAGGCUAUUCUAUAACAAUAUUCCACCUUUAUCUUGACUUUGUAGCUUGGCAAAGACAGACACAGAAAGUGAGGAGACAAUGCAGGUUGUCUUCCUAGACAGACUUGGGUCAGCCCAUACCUGAUGAGGGUCUUUUGUAAUGAAGAAACUCCAAGGUUAAGAAGAAAAAUAAAGUCACAUCUGUACUGACCUGUCCUGGACAAUGGAAUGACACUCUGUCUUUUCUCACAUAUCGAGUCUUAAUGGCCUGGUGUAUGUCAGCAAAAGUUGCCAAGUUCUACCUCUCCCAACCUAUGUCCAGUGGCAGAGCAGUUGGUGCACAUUUUGGACUAGGUAGCUAUGACCUGCCACCCUUCCAUUCCUUCUUAAGUUUUACCUCUUCCAAUUUGUCUUCCUUCUUCCUGGCCCCAAUGUAGUCAUUAAGAAGUCCCUGCUCUGACCUCAUUCAUCUCAUUGCACAACAGCACAUCUGGGGCUCAGGAUUGAGCUGCCCCUGAGGAGCCCUGAGCCUGCAGGCCUGACCAUGCAAACCUGGCUACAACAGAAAGGGAACUGCAUGAUUCAAUCCUGACCUGCUAAUAGGAGACAAACAUAUCCAAUUUGUCUAAAGGAUAUUUAAGAAAUUGUGGUUUAGUGCACCAAGGUGUUAAAUGGGAUAUCAGCAUUUUUGCAAACACUGUCAUGGGAACAUAAUUAGGCAAGUACUUAUUUAUGAGAAUCCUUCUGCAACCAAAAAUUCAGUAGAUGAUACAAUGUCUUUCAGGGUGCCUGCUUUCUCUCUCCUGAAUGUCUGGUUUUAGAAGAAUGAAGUCUACUGACCUGUGCUGGUAGUCUGUAUUUAUGUGAACUUUGAUAUAAAACUGACUGUACCUUCUCAUCUAUAUAAGACGACUUUCCUCCCAGAUAUAGAACUGCAAUUUCGUAAGAGCAAGAUUGGUUUAUUUUCACCAAGAAGGUGCUGUCUGCCUGCCCAGUACUGAGCUCUCAGGAAAUAAAGCAGCAUGGAAGACAAGCCUGGUGGCUUCUCUGGGACACUUGGGAAUACAGUUGUUCACGGGGACAAUCACAGAAGGGGGAGCUCUUGUUACUGGCCGGGAUUUUGUGUUCAUAAUGGAUGUUUAAACUCCACCCAUAGCCAUCUUAGUUGUCCCUGCCUUAAUUAAGAAAAACCCAUGCCCCAUCAGAGCAAUAUCUAGUGGUGACUCUUUGACAUCUGGAGAAGUCAAACCCCCUCCUUGACUCCUGUCGCAUCACUUUCAUGUUGUGGCUCAACAGAACCUAGGUCAGGACAAGCCAGUUCUUCAAUUCAACAAAAUCAGGGCUCAG